rnacentral:lncRNA from 1 species
AGACGGAGGAGGACAUUGACCACAAGUCUGAGGAGGACAGCAUAGUCGAAGAACUGAGCCAAGAUGAUCAGAGUGACAUUGACAUUGAGGCGGUACAUUUAGUGGAGGUUGAAAGCAACAUCAGCAGCUUCACCAAUAUGAGGAAACCAGCGGCAUGUGCAGCAGUCCAUGAGGACCAGUCUGGGCAACAGUCAGCAAAGCCAAAAGACAUGGCAAAGGGACAGAAGGAUGGUGAUAUGAAGGCAGAAAUAUUGAGGGUGGAAGAACAAGGGAAGAGAGUUCAAGAAAACAGCCAGAAGCAUAAGACAAAACAGGAGCAAGAGACAAUGGAGUUAAAUAUAGGCAGAGAAAGAAUGGAAGAAGAGAUAAAGAUGAUGGAUGCAGAACAUGAUAAAGCCAAUAUGUCAAGGAGACUGGAAGAGAAGAGUAUGAGUGCUCUGGAAGAAGAAGAGGAGAAGAGGAGGGUAGAGGAGGAAGUUGAGACAGAGAUGGUGAAAGGACAUCCCUCCCCUGCAGAGAAGUUAGAGUCUGAUGAUAAAGUCUUGAGAGUCCCAGAAGAAUGUGAAAAAGAAGGAAAGAAAGGCAGGAAUAAAGGCAAGGAGAUCCUGACGGAGGACAAAGAACCUAUGAUGAAGCCCGAAAAGACAGCACAUGCAAAUUCAGAG